UUCUAAAGAUCAAGGUCGCUACACACGGUGGAAAUCUCUCGGUCUCUCUCCCAACGCGAGAGGCGGUUUCCAGGCGGGCUGCCUCCACUGGUCUCCAUCGCCUCCGGUAAGCCGUCGGGCUCUCGGAGGUGUGCGGGACAGUGUACGACCGCGAGGCGGUUGUAGAUAAUGUUGUUUUAGAAUUUUAUUCUGGCACUGGCGGGCAGGUAGGGGCGACGUCAACGCUGUGGGAUAAGGUUCCCCCUGGCUCCUUUCCCGUCUCCGCGGUGAUCCCUCCGGCCGGUGGCACUGCGGGGUUAGGGAGGUUGGCCUCUCUCUUAUCCGGCGAGGUUUGGUCGGUGAUGGGGGUGCACAAUAGUAUAGAAGUUGGGAUUUGUGGAGAGGGAUUCCCAGAUCAGGUCGCCUCGGACGGCCGACAGCUGCGCACUGUUGCGGGCGAAGUGGUUUGAGUUGCGGCUCCACUCCGUCAUAGGCUGCCGCUGGUCAAGGGAUCACUUGGUCUACCCCAGGCCGAUGCACCAGAACCCUCCCUGGUUCCGUCUUUUGGGGAGGGACUUAUAUGCGGCUCACAAAGCCAUGGAUUGGCGAUGCUGCUCCUCAUGCCCGUUGUCUUGUGGAUGACGGCUAGCACCGGCGAGUGCAGAGAUCAGCGUGCCUGGGUGAAUAAGGAAGAUGAACUGGGCUGUAAGUUACUUUGUUUUCUCUGUCGGCGUUAUUCCCUUUAGUGUUAUCUCUGCCUCUCUAGUUCUCAACCUCCAACGACAUGCCCUUUUUUGUGCUGGCCAUGGAGGCUAGCAGCGGCAGGACUGCCAUGACUAGGCCGCGCAAUAUUUCUAACAGUGUUGAGCUACUCGUUCCCGACAGCUCCGGUGCCAAGCUGCCAAGCAGGUAUGUGUGUGAUGGAUCUUUUAAUUUUAAGUUUGCUUCCUGUUCGAUUAGGUGCAUAUUUCGCAAGAUAAUGUUGUUCUAUCAUGUCUCUGAUUUUGAUUUCGAUUUUGAUUUUUCCUGCAGAUUUCAGGAUAUAGAAGGCAGCUUCAGGAAGGGGUCGCUGACGAGGUGAGACCAUUGCGUCUAUUCUUGUGUUAGUUUGUUUCAAAGAAAUCACACUAAUUUCUCUCAGUAUACUCUGCAGAGAAAUAAGUACUGAAGCAGGCUUCACCGAAGACUACUGAUCUAGAAUUGUUUGUUGCUGAAAUAAGUCCAGGAGCGGUGGAGCAGGCUGAACAAUUUUCUGUUGAUUUUACUGAAUGGAUUGUCCCUGUAAUUUGACCAAACGUCAUGUCGCCGUGCCACUGAAGUUUUUGCACAGAAUUCUUGUCUUUUUGGGUGGUGCCAAGCUGUCUUUUUGUUGAACAAUGCCACAAUUGCAUAGUUGUAAGUUAUUUAGGAUUGUCUCUAUUGCAUACGACCUGGAGUUACAAGAGGUCCAGUACUAAUUUUGUGUAUGUAUGUACAUGUGCAGUCACCCAUUUUCUAUACACAAGAUUCCAAAGCAUCUUUUACUGUACAUUUUGUUUCUUUUCUCGGUACAAAAUGUAUUGCAAGUGUUGUUCAUUUUUUCCCUUCUCUAAAUAUACUAGAGACCCUCUAAGGGCUCAGUUUUCUUCCCGUUUGUCUGAAUAUACCCAGAUUUAUUUUGUGUGUGCGUAUUUAACAAAGCAUUUAGUUA
rnacentral:lncRNA from 1 species